GUGGGGAAUCUUGCGCAAUGGGCGAAAGCCUGACGCAGCGACGCCGCGUGAGUGAUGAAGGCCCUCGGGUUGUAAAGCUCUGUGGAGGGGGACGAAUAAGUCGUGGCUAAUAUCCACGAUGAUGACGGUACCUCUUUAGCAAGCACCGGCUAACUCUGUGCCAGCAGCCGCGGUAAGACAGAGGGUGCAAACGUUGUUCGGAAUUACUGGGCGUAAAGCGCGUGUAGGCUGCCCCGCAAGUCAGGUGUGAAAGCCCUGGGCUCAACCUGGGAAGUGCACUUGAAACUGCGGGGCUGGAGUUCUGGAGAGGAAAGCGGAAUUCUCGGUGUAGAGGUGAAAUUCGUAGAUAUCGAGAGGAACACCGGUGGCGAAGGCGGCUUUCUGGACAGUAACUGACGCUGAGACGCGAAAGCGUGGGGAGCAAACAGGAUUAGAAACCCUGGUAGUCC
rnacentral:rRNA from 1 species